rnacentral:rRNA from 1 species
CCUACGGGUGGCAGCAGUGGGGGAUAUUGCACAAUGGGGGAAACCCUGAUGCAGCGACGCCGCGUGUGGGAAGACGGUCCUCUGGAUUGUAAACCACUGUCCCCAGGGACGAAGAUGACGGUACCUGGGGAGGAAGCUCCGGCUAACUACGUCCCAGCAGCCGCGGUAAUACGUAGGGAGCGAGCGUUGUCCGGAAUUACUGGGUGUAAAGGGAGCGUAGGCGGGACUGCAAGUUGGGGGUCAAAUCUACGGGCUCAACCGGUAGCCGCACUCAAAACUGCAGUUCUUGAGUGAAGUAGAGGCAGGCGGAAUGCGUAGUGUAGCGGUGAAAUGCGUAGAUAUCAGGAGGAACACCAGUGGCGAAGGCAGCCUGCUGGGCUGUUACUGACGCUGAGGCUCGAAAGUGUGGGGAGCAAACAGGAUUAGAUACCCCUGUAGUC